UAAGAAGAGGAGAUUAAAACACAGACACACACACAGGGAAAAUCAUGUGAGGUUACGGAGAUGGUGGCAUCUAGAAGCCAAGGAGAGAGGCCUCAGAAGAAACCACCCUGCCAACACCUUGAUCUUGGACUCCAGCCUCCAGAACUAAAGAAGAAUGCGAUUUUGCCAGGUCGACAGCAAUAACACCCACUUUUGACAGCCCUCAAGUCCUCCCAGCCAGAAGCCAAACAGAAAGUCAAAGCCGGCUGUGUUUCCACCACCCCCAGGAUGGCUCAUCUUGCUCUCCUGCUGGCCUUGAAGAAGCCAGCUACGCAUUGGGACUGCUGACAGAGGGCUUGUGCCAAGGAACCACAGUGGCCCUUAGCAAUGGACAGCAGCCUCUGGCUGGCAGGUGGUGAGCAGUGUGAUGCUCUCAGUCUUAUGACCACAAGGAAAUAGCUUCUAACAACCUGAGGGAACGUAGAAGCAGAUUCUACCCCCGUCAAACCUCUAGAUCACAGAACAGGCUGCCUGUCACCUUGACUUUUGCCUGUGACCCUGAGCAGGGACCCAGGAAGACCAUGCUCAGAUCCUUAAUGCCCAGAAACUGGGAGACAAUGUGUGUUGCUUAAAGCUGCUUAGUUUGCAGUAAUUUGUUAUGCAGCAGUGGAUGACUGGUAAAAGGAUUUGUGGAGUAAAGGAGUCAAGCAAUGUCCCAGGGGUGUUAUGGAGCUACUGAAGAAGACAAGCUAUGCCAGCCUUUUUAGAAGGAACUUUUGCAUUGAGGAGGAGGAAACUGCUUGGGUUUCUUAGCCAUCUUCCUAAAGAAGAUGUGAUAGAAAUACUUCGAGAAGAAUCUGGGGAAAGCAUGGGGCUCAUCAGUUCCUGGAUGGACUUGAUCAACUCAUUCCUGUGGAACGAACGAGUCCAGUAAAGACCAUGGGAAGUGCCACGACAGUGGUGUGGAGUGUCCCAGCCUACGUGAUGGACAGAGGGGGGCCACUGUGGCUGGAGUGGAGUGGACUCGAGCUAGUGCUAGCAAAGUGGGUCAAGGGGGUCAGAUAGACCCAGGAAGCCUCUGUAAGGACUUUGGCUUUUAGUGAAUAGCAUUGGAAACUGUUCAAAGGUGUUGAGGAGUGGUGAGGGGAGUGGCAUGACCUGACACAUUCUAAGGUCACCUGUACUCUCAGGACCAAUUUGUGAGUGUGCGGGAGGAGUCCGUGACCUAGUGGCAGAGAUUUUGAUUCACUUUUGUAUCCCUCACAUGACUCAGCAUAACAUCUGACAUAUUAACUGUUCAGUGUUUGUUGGAUUGAAUUGAAUGUAUAAACCAUCCAUUAUUGCUGUAAGAUUUUUAAAAAUUUCUUUUUACUUAUUUAUUUGAGAGAGAGAGAAAGAGAGUGUGAGUGAGAAUCCCAACCAGACUCUACACUCAGCACAGAGCCCAACAAGGGGCUUGAUCUCAUGACCUGAGCUAGAAUCAAGAGUCGGACACUUUACCGAUUGAGCCACCCAGGUGCCUGGCUGUGAGAUUUUUUUAACAUUCUGAAAAGUUUAAGCCCCAAACAUAUGCAUGAUGUCUAACUGGUUUAUCAAAGCCAUUGACAUAACUGGCGAAAUUGAAAGCAAAGCUGUGUUGUUGAGUAGGGCAUUUCUGGUUUUUUAAUCCUCCUCAAAUGUCAUGGAUAAGAAAAAAAUGAGCAGGUGUUAUCUUAGGCAGGUGAAGGGCAGCCCAUCCCUUGCCUGCUGACGUUAAAGAAGAUGGAAUAAGACCUUUUUCUCUUGUGUGUGUUGGGAGGUGCAGGGUUGUCCUCUCCUACAAGGGCUCUUGCAAAUCUUUGCCCAUAGCAUCUGCUACUGAAACCGUUCAUCAAGUUUACCUUGUGACUUCCACUCUUGUUAUUUUGAUUGCUAUAUUUUUUUUCUCCAAAAAGAUUUAGGAUUCCACAGAAACCCCUAGGACCAAUAACAUAUUGAAAUGUAUGAAUAGUUGUAUACCUAAGGUAUGUGUGAUGAUGGAUUCUAUGUGUGGAUGAGGCUAGUCCACAGUACCCGAAUGUUUGGUCAAAUACCAGUCCAGAUAUUGCUAUGAUGGUAUUUAUUAGAUGUAAUUAAAUCAGUACACGUGGGGUAAAGCUGAUUACCCUUUGUA